rnacentral:lncRNA from 1 species
UUAAGUCUCUUUUUUUCUCCAUAUUUCUCUAUUUUUUUUAGGAUCUUCACACCUAAAAAUUUAUGGAAUCUAAUACAUAAGUAUACAAUUUCUUAUGUUAAACAAAGUUAAAAAAUUAUGCACUAGUAUUAAUGAACGUCAUAUUCUAAAAAUUAUGUAUCAGUUUAAUUAUCUAAAAAUAUUUAUUGACUUACUAAAUAACUAAUUUGCUUGAUGUUUAUC